ACAGAAGAAAAGACCGAAGCCAGAUCCAAGGAGAGUUCCAAUCGAGUGAAUGUGUAAACAUAAUAAUCAAUUCCAACAGGACAAAGAAGCUAAACACAAACUAAAAAUGAGUAAACCACGAUGAGAGAAGCGAUAUUGGAGGAGCACGACCUGUAGCACGACGAGUAAUAAUAUCCAACUUGGCUCUAAUCUGGAGGGAGAUGUCUGCAACCAGAGCAGAAGCUGGGCGAGUGUUAUCAGAAUGUAUUCUUGUGUUCCUCUCUUUCCAAAUGAAGUAAAGGGAAGCUUGGAACGCAAGCUUGAUGAUUAAGGCCAUAUUAGCACAAGGCGAUGGCCGUUUGACCCAACGAAGCGCAGCUUCAAAGGAUGGAGGAGGAGUUAAAUGACAUCGAGAGUAGAAGUAAGACCAGACCUGAGAGCUGUAGUUACAAUCGAAGAACAGGUGCUGGUGAGACUAUGUAUCUUGAUUGCACAGGACACACAUAUUUGGAACUUGAAGGCCCCAUGAGAGCAUUCUGUCUCGAGUUGGUAAUCUGUUCCGAGCCGAAACCCAAGUAAGGAAAGCAUGCUUAGGUAUCCUACCUUUGAACCAGACCGCCUCAUACCAAUCCACCUCUGGUGCCUGAUUAUACAGAUGAUUCCACGUUCUAGAGGUGGAGAAGGUUUCAGUAGGUACCCCGUCUCCUAACCUCCAUAAAUAUUUAUCAUCUUGAUCAGAGUUUAUGAUAGGUUGGGAAGGAGGGAGACACUGCUUGAGCAUCAAUAGAACAGGAUUCCUACUCCUUGAGCGCGCAGUUCUCCAAUCCCCAUGAGAAAAAGCGUCUCCAACCAUUGUGUAUUGACUGAUUCCUGAGAUCCUGGGACCACUCUCACCAACUAUAUCUAUAAGAGGACCCAACAAAGUCCAAUUAUCCUCCCAGAAGCUUGCUGUAGUACCCGACCCUACAUCACAAACCACAAAUUGCCUCGCAUCCACUCUGAGAGAGCACAAAGCUUUUCAAACCCAACUGUCACUCUGAGCAGGAACAAGAGACCAGAAGUUUUGAUUACCUAUAAGGUGUAUCCUUACCCACGAGCGGUUUUUGUUGAUAAGCUUUUUAGGAAGUGAUCUAUGAAUGAGGAUGACAAAGAUGUGUUCUGUCUGAACAUAUUGCCAUGUUUUGUUUUGUUUUUUUUUCUGACUAAAACAUAUUGCCAUGUUGCCCUGUCUUUUCAUGAGUCGUUGUAUGUCAAGGAAACUGGAAGUUUGAUUUUGGAACAGAUGAUUUUAAAUAUAUAUAUAUAUAUAACUAAUCAGAGUAGUGCA